rnacentral:rRNA from 1 species
GACGAACGCUGUUGGCGUGCUUAACACAUGCAAGUCGAACGGAAAGGCCCUGCUUUUGUGGGGUGCUCGAGUGGCGAACGGGUGAUUAACACGUGAGUAACCUGCCCUUGACUUUGGGAUAACUUCAGGAAACUGGGGCUAAUACCGGAUAGGAGCUCCUGCUGCAUGGUGGGGGUUGGAAAGUUUCGGCGGUUGGGGAUGGACUCGCGGCUUAUCAGCUUGUUGGUGGGGUAGUGGCUUACCAAGGCUUUGACGGGUAGCCGGCCUGAGAGGGUGACCGGCCACAUUGGGACUGAGAUACGGCCCAGACUCCUACGGGAGGCAGCAGUGGGGAAUAUUGCACAAUGGGCGGAAGCCUGAUGCAGCAACGCCGCGUGCGGGAUGACGGCCUUCGGGUUGUAAACCGCUUUCGCCUGUGACGAAGCGUGAGUGACGGUAAUGGGUAAAGAAGCACCGGCUAACUACGUGCCAGCAGCCGCGGUGAUACGUAGGGUGCGAGCGUUGUCUGGAUUUAUUGGGCGUAAAGGGCUCGUAGGUGGUUGAUCGCGUCGGAAGUGUAAUCUUGGGGCUUAACCCUGAGCGUGCUUUCGAUACGGGUUGACUUGAGGAAGGUAGGGGAGAAUGGAAUUCCUGGUGGAGCGGUGGAAUGCGCAGAUAUCAGGAGGAACACCAGUGGCGAAGGCGGUUCUCUGGGCCUUUCCUGACGCUGAGGAGCGAAAGCGUGGGGAGCGAACAGGCUUAGAUACCCUGGUAGUCCACGCUGUAAACGGUGGGUACUAGGUGUGGGGUCCAUUCCACGGGUUCCGUGCCGUAGCUAACGCUUUAAGUACCCCGCCUGGGGAGUACGGCCGCAAGGCUAAAACUCAAAGGAAUUGACGGGGCCCCGCACAAGCGGCGGAGCAUGCGGAUUAAUUCGAUGCAACGCGUAGAACCUUACCUGGGUUUGACAUGGAUCGGGAGUGCUCAGAGAUGGGUGUGCCUCUUUUGGGGUCGGUUCACAGGUGGUGCAUGGCUGUCGUCAGCUCGUGUCGUGAGAUGUUGGGUUAAGUCCCGCAACGAGCGCAACCCUUGUUCACUGUUGCCAGCACGUUAUGGUGGGGACUCAGUGGAGACCGCCGGGGUCAACUCGGAGGAAGGUGGGGAUGACGUCAAGUCAUCAUGCCCCUUAUGUCCAGGGCUUCACGCAUGCUACAAUGGCUGGUACAGAGAGUGGCGAGCCUGUGAGGGUGAGCGAAUCUCGGAAAGCCGGUCUCAGUUCGGAUUGGGGUCUGCAACUCGACCUCAUGAAGUCGGAGUCGCUAGUAAUCGCAGAUCAGCAACGCUGCGGUGAAUACGUUCCCGGG